GAUGAAGAACGUAGCGAAUUGCGAUAUGUAAUGUGAAUUGCAGAAUUCAGUGAAUCAUCGAAUCUUUGAACGCACCUUGCGCCUUUUGGUAUUCCGAAAGGCACACCUGUUUGAGCGUCAUGAAUACCUCAAUCUCCAUCUUUUCUUCGGAUUGAUGGGUGACUUGGAUGUUGAGCCCUGCUGGUAUGCUAUAUCAGCUGGCUUUAAACUUAUUAGCCGGCUCUGUACUGGAUCGGUUUGACUCGACGUGAUAAUAUUAUCGUUGAGGAUGCAUGUCUCAUGCAGCCGGAAAGUAUCAAAGCAGCUUCUAGCUUGCCUUUAGUGCACUUUUACAUUUUAGACCUCAGAUCAGGUGGGACUACCCGCUGAACUUAAGCAUAUCAAUAAGCGGAGGA
rnacentral:misc_RNA from 1 species